rnacentral:lncRNA from 1 species
AUAAGAGGCUGCCUCACAGCCAAUCUGCAGAUUUUUAAAAAGUAACCCUUUGGGAGGGUCUAACUUCAUUUGUAAUUUCUUUGUCUCCAGCUCAGUGGAGCAUGAAAAAGAAGCAGUUCCUCUCCCAAACCCAGCCAAGCACACAGGUGGAAGUUAACUCAGGGAAAAGCAGCACACCACAGUCUGACAGCCUGGGUGCUGAACGUAGUGAUGAGAGGGAUACUCUGGCAGAUGUGACCUUGGAGGCCAAUGUUCUGGGCACCCUGGAGUCCCAGAGGAACAGAGGAAAAGAACCAAGCAUGAGAGAACAGGCUGUCCUUUGGGCUUUGGGCUGUCUCAGGUCACAGGCUGCCCUAUGCCUGCAAUGUGCUGUGCACACUAAAUAUCCCCAUCUCAUACUGCAGGGUGUGUCUAUCAGCUCAGGGCAUGGUCACAGCAUUGCUGUUGGAUAG